AUUUCAAAUUUAGAGCUCUGGUAUGAUGAAAAAAUCUGAACUCGGUUUGUUGACUGGUUUGAUCAAUGGACCGGUAUAUCUAUUUACCUUCUUCCUUGGUUGUUUUCAGGCGGGCAAGGAAGAAUGAAGAGGAAGCUUGCGAUCACUGAAGAUAUCAAUUUGCUGAAGAAACUGAAACUCGAGGAAACCAAUUCUCCAGGUAAAGGUGAAUGAAUUCAUUGCGCUCAUCGCCCUACAAUGGAAAUGUAUUUUCCGUCAAGUUCUUAACAUCUUUUUCUUCCACCUCAGUCGGAGGAAAGGAGAGCCAGGACGGCCAUCGGAGAGCAGCAGCCGCAGUUGGGGUUGAAGUGCAGAAGCAUGAAGCGGAUGAGGGAAGAAGAUGUGUUAUUAUUUGUACAUGCUGCUCCUUGCAAAAGGAUCCACUGAUACUUGAGUUACAAUCUUCAUAUGUUUAGAAGACCAUCCGAUUGCCAGGAACUUCUCUGUGUAAUUGGGAUCGAGACUCGGUGAGAAUCGCUUAGAAGAAAGCCUACACCAAAGAACGUUGACAUAGUAAUCACAAUCUUCAGGAGUUCAGUACUCAACCUAAAGUGUCAGUCAAAUCAUACGUCUAAUGUCUUUAGUAUUUACAACCUUCUUGGACGUUGGAAGAUCAAACUCCCUGGUUUCACCCUACCAAAAAAGAAGAAGAAAACUUAUCUAUGAGCUGUGAUCAUAGUCAUAGCAACUCCUUCCUCGGCUCUCUCAGUUAUCGCAAAGAGACAAUCGUUUUAGGUUUGGCUGCGUAUAUCCCAGUUGAACGAGCUUCUCCAUCAUUUUCCUCUCGGCAUUUGCCUGACCACCCAAAAUUUACAACACUGAGAAGUUAAUCACCUGACUUGACCAAGUCCC
rnacentral:lncRNA from 1 species